AGAAAACUAAGAGAAAAAGUAUUUAUGGCACUGAAUUCCAGAGAGUUUGCGGGGGUGCGAGCAAACAUUCAUCUAUAAAGAAGUCCGUCUCUUCCAGGUGUCCAGCGAAAUAAGUUGGAACGGUCUGCAGCCGUUAUCUGCAAAUCAAGGGCAGUAACAUUACUGAACUUGGGUGGUACCGCGAGAUUUCCAGUCAUUUCGUCCCAAGA
rfam:Enterococcus faecalis V583, complete genome.